rnacentral:rRNA from 1 species
UACGUAGGGUGCAAGCGUUGUCCGGAAUUAUUGGGCGUAAAGAGCGUGUAGGCGGCUUGAUUAGUCUGCUGUGAAAGUCCAGGGCUCAACCCUGGAAUGCCGGUGGAUACUGUCAAGCUAGAGUCCGGAAGGGGCGAGUGGAAUUCCUGGUGUAGCGGUGAAAUGCGCAGAUAUCUGGAGGAACACCAGUGGCGAAGGCAGCUUCCUGGCCUGCAACUGACGCUGAGACGCGAAAGCGUGGGGAGCGAACCGG